ACGCCCCUGGGUCCCUGGGUCCAAUAAAACAUGCUACAUUUUCGUCCCCAGAGCUGCGAUCCUAUUGGUCAACUAUCCUAGACGCUGGAGCAAUGCUAGACGCUGGUCAAAUGCGACCAGUUGAUUUUGCGAUGAUGAACUUAAUGAACUUUGUAUGUCGUUUAUCCUCCCCAGGUCGUUGUUAUGGUUGGUUUCUUUCUUCCUCCUCAUUUCACACGUCACAUAAGAGUUCAAGAAAAAAUUCCACGCCUGAAUGUACCAGCAAGGACAUGUCUUGAACACCUCUCCUUCUUGUGUAAUGUGGAAGAAAUCACGUGCACUGGAGAAUUUUUAAAUUCCAUUUAAAAAUGGUGGUCGAACCUUCCUCAGCGCAAAGUAUAUGCCAUAAUCGAAAUGUCAUAUGGCGAUGCCCACACAGGAACAUUUCUAUGCAGGUUGGAAAGUCUCUGGUCAGCACCACAGGAAAUUUCCUCGGACAUAAUUGCAAGCUCAGGGGCCAGAUUAAGUUUUGAAAGAUGGCAGACAAUGAAGACAAGUUUAACAACAAAAGACUAAGCAAGUGGCAAGAUAAAGGUCAGAGCUCAGCUCAGAGUGAUCCAUGCUUGUUGAUGUCCUCUCAUUCAAGCAUACAAGGAGAAUGGAGCAUUAAAAAAUAGAAGACCAUUCAACUAGUAUGCUGCAUUGAGAAUUUGUCAUCUUGGCUUGGCUUUCCAGACCAGGAAUGAGGUUCAAGCCUUAAGACAGGUGUCAAAAUGAGGGUAGCUUUUCAAUAUUCAAUUUUGUUACUUAUGUUACCGAUAAAAUUCAUGUGGACAGAAAUGAAACUUAUCCAUUUUGCUUUGCAUGCUCUUUACAUGAUACUGCCAAGAAUUAUCAGUACUGUUCAUUCACAAAUAAACCUUGAAUCUCAUGUGUAGUGGAUAGCGGGAAGCAGUAGAGACUUGGCAAUAAUUGACUUUCACCAGCAUGUCUAACACAUGAUCUUUAUCAUGAUUCUUUUCAAAUACAUAGAUCUACCUUUGCCUUAAAAAGUAAAACAAAAUGUUUUAGUAAUGUCCAGUCACCCAAAAGAAUGUUACAUUCAUGCUAAUGCUGUUUGUAUUCCCACAAUAAAUUGUCAAUGUUUAUGAUGAUUGUGCAAAUGGAUUUUCUAUUCUUUAUGA